CUCACAUUAAUGUCUUGUCUAAGAUUGAUCUAAUUGAGAGCUAUGGAAAACUAGCUUUCAACCUCGAUUUCUACACAGAUGUUCAAAACUUAUCAUAUUUGCAGCGCCACCUUGAUCAGGAUCCUCGUGCUUCUAAGUACAGAAAACUUACAAAGGAGCUAUGUGAGGUGAUAGAAGAUUACAGUCUAGUUGAUUUCGCAACCUUAGAUAUCCAGGAUAAAGAGAGCGUAGGAAAUCUUGUGAAAUUGAUAGACAAAAGCAAUGGGUACAUAUUUGCUGGCAUAGACGCCAGUGCGGUUGAAUUCAGCAAAAUUGCAGUCCGCC
rnacentral:misc_RNA from 1 species